rnacentral:lncRNA from 1 species
AAAAGCACCUCACAAAACAAAGUGGCAUCUAGCAAGCGAGGAAAUGGGUCUAUACAUGUAAUUUGGCUACUAAUUAAUUAAUCUACAAAGUAAAGGAAGAUUAUAUAUUACUAUAUUAAUAGGUGUAUGUAUAUUGAUUAUUCACAUAUUUAAUUAGGUUAUUUAAGCAUAAGCACCUUGUGCCUAGCUUCAUUAAUUAUAAUCUCCUCUUUCAUCUUCCUUAUGAAAUCUUCAAAUUUCUGGUUCAGCUCUUCCGUACUCAUCAUAUCCUCUUUCUUCUCCACUUGUUCAUCAUUAUCAUCUUCUCCUUCUUCUUCGUUGUCUUGUUCGUACAGCUCUUCCACAUCGUCGUGGAAAAGCCAGCAAUAACUUGCAGAAUUUCCAUCCUUGUCCACAUCCGCGGAAUCACGGCGAUCUUCUCCUCGUUCCUCAGCGAUGAAAAUGGAGACCUCUUUGGGCUCUUCCUCCGGCAUCGGCGUGCUCCUCCAAUUGAAAUCUAUCGAGAGCUGUCUGCAGCAAGGCGUCGGCGAUCCGCUUAUCGUUGAGAUCGCGGGCGGCGGGAGGCUGAAUGAAGCCGGAGGUCUUGGCGAGGAAGACUAGGAGGCCGUUGCAGAUGAGGAAGAGGCAGUUUUUGCUGAGUGCGUGGGUGAGGAGGUGGAAGGAGAAGUAGUGGUGGAAUUUGGGGGAGGGGUGGAGUAGAGACGAGGAGAAGGAGACUAGGAAGGAAAACAGUGAAACGGAUAUUAGUAGCUGAGAGAUCAUCUUCUUUGAGGGUUGAGAUCCGGUCGAAUCAUAUUUUUGGUCCAUUUCUCUGGUUUGAUCCAAGUGUGUGUGUGUUUGGGGAAGGGGUGUGGAAGCUGGUGUCUCUACAGAGAUAAAUGGUGCCUUUAUAUAGGUGAAGCCUUGAGAAAUACCCCUACUUACCACAUUGGAGAUGAAGAGAUUCCAACUUUUUGGGAGUAGUAAUUACUGAAUCUAAUUGGAAUAUUGUAAGCUCAUCUUUAAUACUCAUCUAUUGGUUUUUCAUUAUAUUUCUUAUUAGACUUAUAUAAAUAUAAUCAUAUGUCAACACAAUUUUAAAACUAACCAAUUUACUAUUGUAGAAAUAGAAACUAGUGAGUACUAUAUUAAAACUAGUAUACAACAUAUGCACAAGCAUCGUUAUUCAUCAUUGUACUCCACACAAUAUAUACUCUAUCUGUCUCAUAAGAGUGUGCAUUUUUCAUUUUGGACACUACCUCACUAUAUCAGUACUACAAUAAAGUGAGUCUCUUUAUUCACUCACAACACAAUAAUUUAAUAUUUAUUAAUAUAUGUGUCGCAAAAGGGAUGCACACUCUUGAGGGCCAGAGACAGUAUUAAUCAAAUUUAAUAAUAUUAAGAUUUAAAUUUUAAUAUUUUAAAACUAUUAUAUUUUCAAGGUGAAAAAUAUAAAAUAUAUAUUUUAUCUAAUAAAUACAUACACAUAUAUAUAUAUAUAUAUGUGGGUUAUAUUAGGGGGUGAGCAGCGGGGUCGGACCCGGGACCAACCCGCCGGGGUUUUGUUGGACCAAAAAUUUUUCAAAAAAAUUGGACCGAUCCGGACCGAUUUAUACGUGUGGACCGAUCCAGACCCGGAUAGAACCCAAGUAACGGGUCCGGUUCGAUCUGGAUCAGACCCGCCAAUAAUAUAAUUAUUUCCCCCUGUUUUGUACUUAAUUUUCAGAUCUAAAACAUGUAAAAGAUAUGGAUUGAGCAAGAAGUAGAGUCCAAUAUGUCAUCGUUUGAAGCUCUUCUCGACCAAGAAAAAACAGAGCAGUUUGAAGAUUCCUGCCCAAUUCAAGACGAGGAACAAGUAGAGGAAGAAGAUAGCGCAGCUUGCCAUCUUUCUCCUUCAACACAAUCAGAUGAAGAAGCUCUUUAAAGCAAUGAAGCGCCGCUCCUCCUUCAAGAACCCGCCGUCGAUAUCGAUAAAGAAGCACAAGAGUCGAGUAUUAUACUAAAAGAGGUAGUUUUGCUAAACAAUGAGGAAGAAAACCAGGCGGCGGCGGAGACGACCGCUGAUGAAGAUGAAGAUGAAGAAGAGCAAGCAGCAGUGGCAAAACCAAAUGAAAAUCAAGAAUUGAUGGUAAUGGCGAGUAACAAUGGAGAUGAAGAAAAGAGAGAGAAACAGAAGCCGUUUGAGUGGGUGGAGCAGCGGGUUUGAGCAACGACGACUAGGAUUAGAGACGCAAGUCACAUACUUGAUUCAGGUUUUGCAAUGUUUAUUUGAAUUUCCAGACUUGAGUUGACUUAGUUAGGUAGGGUUUUGAUUUUAAAUUUUAUUAAUAUUACUCCGUCCACGAAAUGAGUACCCAUUUAUGGACGGCACGGGUUUUAAGAAAUGUAUGGAGUGUAGUGUGAAUAGUUUAUGGGUCCCACUUUUUGAGUGUAUUAAUUAAAGAGAUGUGUGGGGUACACUUGACAAAAAGGAAAAUGGGUACUCAUUUCGUGGACGGACGAAAAAGGAAAUAUGGGUACUCAUUUCGUGGACGGAGGGAGUACUAUAUAAAUUAAAUAAUUAAUUGAUAAAUAAAUGGGUCGGUUAGGGUUCAGUGGGUUCGAGUGGGUUUCGACCCGAUGAAAUUUUGGUCCUAGAAAAUUGACCCGACCCGGACCAUAUAUGUGUCUUAGGUUGGUUCGGUUCGGACCGAACCCGUCGGUCCGGGCGGGUUCGGCUGGUUCGGGUUGGGUCUGCUCACCCCUAGGUUAUAUAUAUAGACUAUUCACAUAUAUUUUAAAAAAGUAUGUGUUUCAUAUGUAUAAAUAAUCAUACACUCACACACAUGUAUAAUAUAUCUUUAUUUGGUUAUUAACAUAAUCUUUAGGACAUUUUUGGACACUAUGUGGCGGCUACAUGACAUUAAAUUAAAUGACGUCGUUUUAUAGCUAAAAAACAUGAAACAACGUCGCUUCAUUUUUUUAGGAUUAAAAUCCAUUUAACCUAACCCUAGCUGUACAAUUUCGAAUUUUCAUUCCUAAUCAGAAGGCGAGAAGAAGAGGACGAGAAAAACGCAAUAAUCUCGUGAGACAAAAACGAGUUGUAGUAAUGCCAUGAAAAAUACUCGCGAAUCUCAACUUGUCGAAUUAAUGGAGGACAAGUACGACUCACAUCCUUUUUUUUAUUCUUCUUUCUUUGUCAUCUUGCUUUUCUUAUUGACCUUCUUAAGCGGCUAUAGGAUUUAGAAAUUAGGGUUCUUAGUUCCCCCAAUUUCAUAACUGCAAACCCCACUUUUUCAAUUUGGUGUUUACUCUAAUUUGAUUAAUUUGGUUGUAAGAAUUCUUAUACUUAAUUGCUUAUGCCUUUGCAUUUUCUUGAUUUGAUUUGGCUGCAAACCCCUUGUUUUAUUACAUUUUCUACGUUUGUAUACUGUCAGUUGCAUGUAAUUUGAAUUCAUUAUUUACUAGUAAUUUGAUGAUUUAUUGUUUUUUCUACAUUUGUAGUGAUGACAUUGCACUUUACAUUCACCAUGGAGAAAAAAUUGUUAGAUUAGGAUCCACUAAACUGUACUAAGGUGGUGUAGUAAGCAAAUUAGAUUUUGAUAAGGGUAGAUUUGGAUAUUUGGACUUAAAGGAGGAGAUUCAGAAACUUGGUUAUAUUUCUUGGAACUGCAUAACAUAUAAAGUGUCACAGCCCAAAACCGUUUAGUUCCUUUGCAAUUUUUAUUUGAAAAUUAGUAUAUUUUUGAGUUAUUAAUAUAUAUAUAUAUAUAUAUAUAUAUAUCUAUNAGUCAUCCAUUUGGUGGGCGAUGCAAAUUAUUGCUCCACGCUGAUUUAAAAUAUUAUAUAAACGUGGACGUAAUUUUAAGAUUCAAAUUAAAUCGAUAAUGAUUUGGACUGUGUUCAAUUUUUCAUCUUCUUACUUGAAAAUUAAUUUUAUCUAUAUAUGAUAGGCCUACAAGGCUCUUGUAGCGUGAUUUAAACCAGAGAUUUUGUAAAUGGCCGGGAUUAAGAAAUGAUCCAAAAUUAGUUCUAGUCUGCAAACCCAUAGGCCCAAGUCUUCAAAAAUUAAUGGGCUAAAGCUGAAAUAGUUCCACACUCAGCUUCCAAGUGUGGCUCUCUAACUCAUAAAUCUUAUGGAAGUAGUUCGUAGUACUAUUUCAAAUGCAUAAUUAUGAUCCAAUCGGGUCAAAAAGGAAUUGUAGCUAAGACUUAGAAAACAAAAAAAAGGAUACACGCAAAUUUUGUAGUGUUUGAUUAGAGAUUUCGCCGCCAGCAGGAGAAGGAUUAACGUCAACCAAUCAAUGUCGUUGGAAGAUUAUAAUUAGCUAUUUGAUUUGGAGGCAUGAGUUAUAAGGUAAAAUAGUAAAUUCAUAAUUAUUAUUUUAAUAAAAGACUAUAAUGUUAUGAAUAAAAUUGAUAUUUUCGUCUGUGCGCGCUGUUGACUUGUUAUCACCUUAAAUGAGGGGAUUAAAGUCAUCACAACUCACAAGCACAAAGCAUGCUGCUGUAUUUUAUUUUAAAAAUAAUCCGAACAUAAUUUAAAAUAGGCAUUUGAAUUUAGGCCGAACCAAAUAACUCUAACAUCUACUAUAAAUAACAUUUACUAUUUACUCCCUUCGUCCUAUUAAAGUUGGCAACAUUUCUAUUUUGGGUGUCCCACUAAAGUUGGCCACUUUCUAAAAAUGGCAAAAGUUUACUUUAAUUAAGUCAACAAUUACUCACUAAUUUGGUCAACAAUUGUAGGCACUUUCUAAAAAUAUCAAAAUUACUUUAAUUAAGUCAACAAUUACUCACUAAUUUGGUCAACAAUUGUAGGCCACACUUUAUUAAAACAUAUAACACUCAAUUUCUUAAUCUCCGUGCCGAAACGAAUGUUGCCAACUUUAGCGGGACGGAGGGUACCAGAUUGAUACGAUANAAUUAUUUAAGUAUAUAUAAAUAUAUAGACCUAUAUAUAAUCGGGGCCCUCAAUUUUCGGGCCCUGUGCGGUCGCCCACCCCGCACACCCUCAAACCGCCACUGACAACAUAUGCACAAGCAUCAUUAUUCAUCAUUGUACUCCACACAAUAUAUACUCUAUCUCUCUCAUAAGAGUGUGCAUUUUUCAUUUUGGACACUACCUCACUAUAACACUACAAUAAAGUGAGUCUCUUUAUUCACUCACAACACAAUAAUUUAAUAUUUAUUAAUAUAUGUGUCGCAAAAGGGAUGCACACUCUUGAGGGCCAGAGACAGUAUUAAUCAAAUUUAAUAAUAUUAAGAUUUAAAUUUUAAUAUUUUAAAACUAUUAUAUUUUCAAGGUGAAAAAUAUAAAAUAUAUAUUUUAUCUAAUAAAUACAUACAUAUAUAUAUAUAUAUAUAUGUGUGUGUGUGUUAUAUUAGGGGUGAGCAGCGGGUCGGACCCGGACCAACCCGCCGGGUUUGUUGGACCGAAUUUUUCAAAAAAUUGGACCGACCCGGACCGAUUUAUACGUGUGGACCGAUCCAGACCCGGAUAGAACCCAAGUAACGGGUCCGGUUCGAUCUGGAUCAGACUCGCCAAUAAUAUAAUUAUUUCCCCCCCUGUUUUGUCCUUAAUUUUCAGAUCUAAAACAUGUAAAAGAUAGGGAUUGAGCAAGAAGUAGAG